CGAAUUGCGGCGGGAGAGUCCUGCUGGAUGAAUGUCAGCGGGCGCCGUAGGAGCAAUACCUCCCCAGGAAUCUCUCAGGCCCCUGUACCGCCGCAGACAG
rnacentral:ncRNA from 1 species